rnacentral:rRNA from 1 species
AUUGAACGCUGGCGGCAUGCCUUACACAUGCAAGUCGAACGGUAACAGGUCUUCGGAUGCUGACGAGUGGCGAACGGGUGAGUAAUACAUCGGAACGUGCCUAGUAGUGGGGGAUAACUACUCGAAAGAGUGGCUAAUACCGCAUGAGAUCUACGGAUGAAAGCAGGGGAUCGCAAGACCUUGUGCUACUAGAGCGGCCGAUGGCAGAUUAGGUAGUUGGUGGGAUAAAAGCUUACCAAGCCGACGAUCUGUAGCUGGUCUGAGAGGACGAUCAGCAGCACUGGGACUGAGACACGGCCCAGACUCCUACGGGAGGCAGCAGUGGGGAAUUUUGGACAAUGGGCGCAAGACUGAUCCAGCAAUGCCGCGUGCAGGAUGAAGGCCUUCGGGUUGUAAACUGCUUUUGCACGGAACGAAAAGCCCUGGGUUAAUACCCUGGGGUCAUGACGGUACCGUAAGAAUAAGCACCGGCUAACUACGUGCCAGCCGCCGCAGUAAAAC